ACGGAAGGCAGCAGUGGGGAAUAUUGGGCAAUGGGCGAAAGCCUGACCCAGCGACGCCGCGUGCAGGAAGAAGAUCUUCGGAUUGUAAACUGCUUUUAUCGGGGACGAAAAAAUGACGGUACCUGAUGAAUAAGCCACGGCUAACUACGUGCCAGCAGCCGCGGUAAUACGUAGGUGGCGAGCGUUAUCCGGAUUUACUGGGUGUAAAGGGUGUGUGGGCGGGAUUGCAAGUCAGAUGUGAAAACUAUGGGCUUAACUCAUAGCCUGCGUCUGAAACUGUAGUUCUUGAGGGUCGGAGAGGUAACUGGAAUCCCCGGUGUAGCGGUGAAAUGCGUAGAUAUCGGGAGGAACACCGGUGGCGAAGGCGGGUUACUGGACGAUUACUGACGCUGAGACACGAAAGUGUGGGGAGCAAACAGGAUUAGAUACCCUGGUA
rnacentral:rRNA from 1 species